GAUGAAGAACGCAGCGAAAUGCGAUACUUGGUGUGAAUUGCAGAAUCCCGUGAACCAUCGAGUCUUUGAACGCAAGUUGCGCCCGAAGCCAUCAGGCCGAGGGCACGCCUGCCUGGGCGUCACACGCCGUUGCCCCCCCGCGCCCCGCACCCAACUCUUUGGGAGCGACCGCGGGGCGGGCUGAUGAUGGCCUCCCGUGCGCUCCGCCGCGCGGUUGGCCCAAAUACCGAGUCCCCGGCGACGUGCGCCACGACGAUCGGUGGUUGAGAGACCUCUGUCGCAAGUCGUGCGCGCCCGUCGCGUCACGCGGGCUCGCAUAGCGCCUCGCGCCGCACCCGGUGCGGAGCUUUCAACGCGACCCCAGGUCAGGCGGGGUUACCCGCUGAAUUUAAGCAUAUCAAUAAGCGGAGGA
rnacentral:misc_RNA from 1 species